rnacentral:rRNA from 1 species
AAACUUAAAUGAAUUGGCGGGACCGCACAAGCGGUGGAUGAUGUGGUUUAAUUCGAUGCAACGCGAAAACCUUACCUACCCUUGACAUGUCAAGAAUUUUGCAGAGAUGUGAAAGUGCUCGAAAGAGAACUUGAACACAGGUGCUGCAUGGCCGUCGUCAGCUCGUGUCGUGAGAUGUUGGGUUAAGUCCCGCAACGAGCGCAACCCUUGUCAUUAGUUGCUACCGCAAGGAGCACUCUAAUGAGACUGCCGGUGACAAACCGGAGGAAGGUGGGGAUGACGUCAGGUCCUCAUGGCCCUUAUGGGUAGGGCUACACACGUCAUACAAUGGCCGGUACAGAGGGCUGCCAACCCGCGAGGGGGAGCCAAUCCCAGAAAACCGGUCGUAGUCCGGAUCGUAGUCUGCAACUCGACUGCGUGAAGUCGGAAUCGCUAGUAAUCGCGGAUCAGCUUGCCGCGGUGAAUACGUUCCCGGGUCUU